GUCGCGGUAGCGCAGUGGUUAAGUGUACUUGACUUGGGACCAAAAAGGUCCUAAGUUUGAGUCCUGGCUGCAGCC